rfam:Brachypodium distachyon strain Bd21 chromosome 2, whole genome shotgun sequence.
AAACUACUUCGUCCGUCCAACAAAAAAUGUCUCAAGUUUGUCAAAAUUUGAAUGUAUCUAGACAUGAUUUAGCGUAUAGAUGCAUUUAAAUUUGGUUAAAGUUGAGACAUUCUUUGUUGGACGGAGGAAGUACAAA